GGUAUGGAUGCUCUGGCAGGACACUUAGGAGGCUACAGAGAUUCCAGUUGUGAUGGCAGCAAUAAUAGCUCUUACGUUGACAUGAAGGCACAACCGUCGCCAGUUGUACAUGGCCCUUGAGCAAAAUGAAUGGCUGACUGAAUCCCAAGGUAUAUCAAGAACAUAGUGUAAUAUACUGUCCAGAAGAACAGAUUGCUUAGCUGAGACCUUAAGUUGAGACCUGAACUGGCAUCACUAUCUCCUAUAUAUAAUUCAAUUUACUGCCCUGGAAAAAAAAAUCCACAAUAAUAUAGCGAUAAUACAUUGCACUAGCCUAGUCCUCCGGGAAGUGAGUCUACUCCAGUCUCCCCUAACUGGUUGAUAACAUAUUUAAAUGCCAGUCACUAAUCCACUGCUGCUUCAUCCUUUGAGAGCUGCUUUAUUGAACACUGUAAUUGCCUGGAUGUUGUUUUUCAUUUCUGUAGCUGUUGCUGUUAAUUAAAUAUUCCACGAAAAGCUCCCCGUGACAUUUCUUUCUGCUUUCUUGAAAUCUGAUACGAUAGACAGUCUGUACAUUUUUUCCUGCUGC